UUCUUGGAUAAUUGUGAGGUUUCAUCUAAAACCAGAAGUGGAAACAAGAUGAAUAAACCACCACAGAAAAAAUGAAACUGCUACAUGUGAUUUGACAAAAAACAGUGGAUAUAUUUCAUAAUUCAUCAGACAGUGUACACACAGCCAGUAGAUUUCUGACCCAAGAUCAAUAUGUAGGACUCUCAGCUCUUUCUCCAGCACUAUGUCUGCCUCGUGCUGCCAGGUCCUGCCAUGAGGAUAAUGGAAAAAACCUCUGAAACUGUGUUACAUCUGAGAAGUGGUGAAAAAUGAGAUCUGAAGGAGGUGAAACAGCCAGGAUGCACUUCAGUUGGGUGAAAUGGAAGUAACUAGGACAGUUUUUUUCUGGAGGAUGGGC
rnacentral:lncRNA from 1 species